rnacentral:rRNA from 1 species
UAAUAAGCGGAGGAGAAGAAACUAACCAGGAUUUCCUCAGUAGCGGCGAGCGAACAGGAAGGAGCCCAGCACCGAAUCCCGCGGUUCGGCCGCAGGGAAAUGUGGUGUUCGGGAGGGUCCGCUUAUCCCUUGGCGUUGCGCCGCGUCCAAGUCCAUCUUGAAUGGGGCCACUUACCCGCAGAGGGUGCCAGGCCCGUAGCGACCGACGCGCGCCUCGGGAGGAUCUCUCCUUAGAGUCGGGUUGCUUGAGAGUGCAGCUCUAAGCGGGUGGUAAACUCCAUCUAAGGCUAAAUACGACCACGAGACCGAUAGCGAACAAGUACCGUGAGGGAAAGUUGAAAAGAACUUUGAAGAGARAGUUCAAGAGUACGUGAAACCGUUCAGGGCUAAACCUAAGAAACCCAAAAGAUCAAACGGUAAGAUUCAUCGUCAGCGGCGCGGGCUUCGCGUUGGCGGGCGAUGCCCCACGCGGCUUGCCGGCGUAAGCUCGGCUCGCCGGCGUAAGCUCGGCUCGCCGGCGCGCGGGCACGCUGCCGCGCGCCGAUGUCCCGCCGCCAUCGUCGUGCACUUCUCCCCCAGUAGGACGUCGCGACCCGCUGGGUGUUGGCCUACGGCCCGGGUGCGGUGUCUGCCACGUCGCCGGUAAAACGGCACGCGACAAACCCCCGAUCGCUCGGUCGGCUGCCUGGCGAUAGGCCAAAACGGUACCAGGCCGCGCCACGCGCGCGUCGAGCCCGUCGCGAGCGUCGGCCACGCACCGGAGGCACGGACCCAGCCGCCGUCCCCGCCGUGCUGGCCCGCUUCGUUACGGUACCUUCGACGGGCCUCUCCACGUGCGCGCUGCCCGUGCUUCGGCGCGGGUGCGCGGACGCGCGGACUAUCGGUCGGCGACGCUGCUUUGGGUACUCUCAGGACCCGUCUUGAAACACGGACCAAGGAGUCUAACAUGUACGCGAGUCAUUGGGACGAGUCGCGAUACCUAAAGGCGCAAUGAAAGUGAAGGUCGGCCCUGGCCGCCGACCGAGGGAGGACGGGCCGCGUCGCGAUGCGGCCCCGCACUCCCGGGGCGUCUCGCUCUCAUCGCGAGGGGAGGCGCACCCAGAGCGUACACGUUGGGACCCGAAAGAUGGUGAACUAUGCCUGGUCAGGACGAAGUCAGGGGAAACCCUGAUGGAGGUCCGUAGCGAUUCUGACGUGCAAAUCGAUCGUCGGAACUGGGUAUAGGGGCGAAAGACUAAUCGAACCAUCUAGUAGCUGGUUCCCUCCGAAGUUUCCCUCAGGAUAGCUGGCACUCGUCCGUUCCGCGACGGAACGCGGGCGAGUCUCAUCUGGUAAAGCGAAUGAUUAGAGGCCUUGGGGCCGAAACGACCUCAACCUAUUCUCAAACUUUAAAUGGGUGAGAUCUCUGGCUUUCUCGAACCGUGAAGCCACGAGCUUUAUCCCCCUAUCGGAUCAGAGUGCCAAGUGGGCCAUUUUUGGUAAGCAGAACUGGCGAUGUGGGAUGAACCAAACGCAGAGUUAAGGCGCCCAACUCGACGCUCAUGGGACACCAUGAAAGGCGUUGGUUGCUUAAGACAGCAGGACGGUGGCCAUGGAAGUCGGAAUCCGCUAAGGAGUGUGUAACAACUCACCUGCCGAAGCAACUAGCCCUGAAAAUGGAUGGCGCUGAAGCGUCGAGCCUAUACUCUGCCGUCAGCGGCAAGUGGGGCGGCCGCGGGCGCGCGCGCGCGCGGUCGUCACGAGGCCCUGACGAGUAGGAGGGUCGCGGCGGUGAGCGCAGAAGGGUCCGGGCGCGAGCCUGCCUGGAGCCGCCGUCGGUGCAGAUCUUGGUGGUAGUAGCAAAUACUCCAGCGAGGCCCUGGAGGACUGACGUGGAGAAGGGU